rnacentral:rRNA from 1 species
AUGGGUUCAAAUUCAAACACCGCCGACCGCUUUAACGCGGAUGCGCUCAAGCAUAUCGUGCGCGCCGGUUCUUCUGCGGCGAUGAUCGACUGGGGCAACGAGGAGCACCACCGCUGCAUCGUCGCCUGCAUGGUCAAAGGCGCUUACGUCCUCGAGAGCGACAGAGCAAUGGGCAGGACGGAGGCGGCGGCGCUGGGGCCGGCGUGGUGUGAGAGCUUUCACUUCAGCAUCAACCAGAAACUCACGGAGGGCAGGUCCAUCUAUGGUGCCAUCUACGAGCAUGUGCCCGGCCUCCGCCACCCAGCCGCUCCACGGUAUGUCGUCGCCUACAGGGGCACCAUGCCCAAUCACCCCGAGUGGGCGGUGGUGAUGAAAGACCUCUACCUUGACUUCAAAAUAGUGGUCAACAAACUGAAGAAACGCACGCGCUCCAAGCUGGCGUGCGGGGCGGUCGAUGAACUUAUGGAUGGCGAAGCCGGCCUAGGAAGCGACGACGUCUGGCUGGCCGGGCACUCUCUCGGCGCAUCGCUGGCGCUGGACGUGGGGCGGGACAUGAUGGAGAGGCGGGAACUCAACCUCCCGACCUUCCUCUUCAACCCGCCGCAUGUGUCGCUGACGGCGGCGACGAACUUGCUGAACGCGCAGGACGUGGCCAAGAGGCACCUGCACUUCACGAGUUACUUCUUCAAGGCCGGUGCGGCCACGGUCUCGGGUUGCCACCGGGAGCGCAUGGAGAAGCUGUUCAACCGGCUUUCCCCAUGGGUGCCGAAUCUGUACCUGCACGAGAAGGACUGGAUCUGCCAGGGCUUCAUCGACUACUUCGAGCUGCGGCAGCAGUUCGUGGACCGCUUUCACUCCCGCUUUCCCUGCGUUGCAAGCAAGUCCAUGACACUGUCGUACCGCGACAUGCUCUGGAGCCUGCUUGGCAAGGACAAGGAGCGGCCGCAUCUCCUGCCAUCGGCGAUGCUGUGGAAGACCGCGCAAACAAGCCUCGAUGCGCACGGCCUCCAGCAGUGGUGGAAACUGGAC